UACGAAGGGGGCUAGCGUUGCUCGGAAUCACUGGGCGUAAAGGGUGCGUAGGCGGGUCUUAAGUCAGGGGUGAAAUCCUGGAGCUCAACUCCAGAACUGCCUUCGAUACUGGCGAUCUCGAGUCCGGAAGAGGUGAGUGGAACUCCUAGUGUAGAGGUGGAAUUCGUAGAUAUUCGGAAGAACACCAGUGGCGAAGGCGACUUACUGGACACAUAUUGACGCUGAGGUGCGAAAGCGUGGGGAGCAAACAGG
rnacentral:rRNA from 1 species